GACGAAUGCUGGCGGCAGGCUUAACACAUGCAAGUCGAGCGCCCCGCAAGGGGAGCGGCAGACGGGUGAGUAACGCGUGGGAAUCUACCCAUCUCUACGGAAUAACGCAUGGAAACGUGUGCUAAUACCGUAUACGUCCUUCGGGAGAAAGAUUUAUCGGAGAUGGAUGAGCCCGCGUUGGAUUAGCUGGUUGGUGGGGUAAAGGCCUACCAAGGCGACGAUCCAUAGCUGGUCUGAGAGGAUGAUCAGCCACACUGGGACUGAGACACGGCCCAGACUCCUACGGGAGGCAGCAGUGGGGAAUAUUGGACAAUGGGCGCAAGCCUGAUCCAGCCAUGCCGCGUGAGUGAUGAAGGCCCUAGGGUUGUAAAGCUCUUUCACCGGUGAAGAUAAUGACGGUAACCGGAGAAGAAGCCCCGGCUAACUUCGUGCCAGCAGCCGCCGCAGUAA
rnacentral:rRNA from 1 species